rnacentral:rRNA from 1 species
AUUGAACGCUGGCGGGAUGCCUUACACAUGCAAGUCGAACGGAGUGGCGAACGGGUGAGUAAUGUAUCGGAAUGUGCCCAGUAGCGGGGGAUAACUACGUGAAAGCGUAGCUAAUACCGCAUACUAUUGGAGGGGCCGGUAUCGGAUUAGCUAGUGGGUGGGGUAAAGGCUAACCAAGGCGACGAUCCGUAGCUGGUUUGGGAGGACGACCAGCCAAACGGGAACGGAGACACGGCCCAGACUCCUACGGGAGGCAGCAGUGGGGAAUUUUGGACAAUGGGGGAAAGCCUGAUCCAGCCAUCCCGCGGGUGGGAUGAAGGCCUUCGGGUUGUAAAGCCCGGUUAGCAGGAAAGCGGUACCUGAAGAGUAAGCACCGGCUAACUACGUGCCAGCAGCCGCGGUAAUAC